rnacentral:lncRNA from 1 species
AAGAGAUAAUUAAUGAUUUUGCGAAUUUAAAAUGUAGAAAACGAAUUUUCUAACAAAACUUCAUUUUAUUAUGGAUUGUUUUUAUUAAACCUUACAUUUAAUGAAAUAAAAGGGAUAUAGGUGGGGCCUACUUUUGCAUAGGGGGCCCAGUGCCUCAAGAAGUCUUAAGACAUCCCUUCAGUUGGUGAAUGCAUCAAAAUGUGGAACUCAUUAAGAGAUAGAUAUAUGAAAGAAUGCAGGCUUCAAAAACAAAAAAGUGAUACUGCAGCCAUUAUAUCAAAUUGAUGGAAAUAAUUUAAUGAAGUUUUAUGGAGAUUUUUACCAAACAAGGAACUCUGAUGUCCAAGAAACAUCUGUUUCAAUACCAUUUGGGUAAUGUUCCUGAAGUAGAAAUGUGUAUUAUUGAAAAUGAAAUACGAGAAAUUGAUACACCAUCCACUUCAAAUGGUUCUGUUUCAGGAAUACAGCACUGGAUGGUUCAAUGCAAUUUCGUGAUAAAAAUGGCUUGGAGAAAUCUGCUGAGAGGCUCAUGGAACUAUUGAGGUACACGUGUCAAUUUGACUAACGGGUGCCCUUUCAGUACCUUCUCGCCACUGUCCGAUUUGUUAUGUCCUUACUAGACCUCCAGUCUACAUAUGCGAGUCUAAACUUAGAAAAGUGUAGAAAUGUUUUAAUAUUUGAUUAACCACUGUGUGC